UGCAUGGGGUAAUUGGGUUGCCCAUGGGUUUUCUGCUUUGGAAUUAAUUGCCGUACCAGUUCCUUUCCAUUUCCGGCUCUCACAGCUGCAUUGUUCAGAGCUGACAGCAGAGCUUUCUCAUGGGUUAGAUAAAGAGAACAACAAAUGCUUCUCCGCCGCUUCUCCUCUCCGUCACUUUUCUCACCAAAAUUAUACGACCAAAAUCUUCAGCAGUGCUUCGUUUGGCGAUGGCAAUUGAAGAAGCCGGUAUUGAAAUCUUCCGGAGUGUGUUGUGGGCAUCAUUUCUAGCUCAAAGUUUGAGAUUUUUGGUUGACCUUUGCAUAGAUUUUGGAUCGAGUGAUUUUUUGGAUGUUGUUGUUCUUCAUCUUUAAAAAAAAUCUACAGGAAACUGUUAUCAACAUAAUCCAGGUUUAUUCCUUGUAAGAGUUUCCACUCGGGCAAAUGUUUGCAAUCAGCAAAUAGGCAAACUCUCGUCCUUUAUUGCCUCCAAAAACCACGACCUCUCAUUCUUGGAGACCUUAUAUUGUGCAUGGUACUGUUUUGGGUGGAGUUGAUGGGCUGGCAUUUUUUCUUCACUACAAUGACGAGAAGAGGACCAUCAUUAAAGAUUUUAUUACUUCGACGUUGUAAUCACUUCGAAGUCUGAAACUGAAGUUCUUCUCCUGCAUUUUAUGUAAUACGUGCCAAAGGAUUUGUAUAGCUCCCUAGGUGUUAGUAUUGCAAUUGUAACUGUUGACCAAAAAAGGUAUACAUUUGUUUGUGUAUGAAAGAGAGAGACAGAUAGAGUAUGUGUGUGUGUGUGAGAGAGAGAGAGAGGGACAAAUUGUGUAUGUUCUAUCUCUCUCUGUCUCUCACUAUUGGUUGUUUACUCAUCUUUGCAUGGCGUACAACACAUUCACACACACUCUCUCUCAUAGUUUAUCUCUUCUAUUUCCAUAGUUGCAUAAUCACAAUAUUCGAACUCGAUUUGACCCA